rnacentral:rRNA from 1 species
AGCAGCCGCGGUAAUUCCAGCUCCAAUAGCGUAUAUUAAAGUUGUUGCAGUUAAAAAGCUCGUAGUUGAAUUUCGGGGUUAGUAGGUUGGUCAUGCCUCUGGUAUGUACUGGUCUCACUGAUUCCUCCUUCCUGAUGAGCCGUAAUGCCAUUAAUUUGGUGUUGCGGGGAAUUUGGACUGUUUACUUUAGAAAAAAUUAGAGUUGUUUAAAGCAGGCAUUAGCUUGAAUACAUUAGCAUA